rnacentral:tRNA from 1 species
GUGAAUGUAGUUUAAAUAAAACCCUAGGUUGUGGCUCUAGAAAUGAGGACUAAUACUCCCCCAUUCACC